AAAGCAGGCAUCAAAAGAAGAGAGACUGUGAGGGUUUAGAACCUCCCUCCACUUCGCAUAAAUAUCUUUGAUGAUUAUCAAAAAAAUAAAUAAAUAAAACAAUGCAUGAAAAGUAAAUGGAUUUAGAGGGUGGGAUUUUCAGACAUGCUCAGUGCCAGUCUAGUGAAAUCAAUAGCAAAACUCCCCUAAACUUCAGCGGGAGCAGACUUACAAAAAGCACUCAGUGUUGGCCUAUUUAAAUAUGCCAGUUUUUUGUUUGUCUUUUCUGUAUGAAAGUCUCUACAUUACAAAAUUUGAACGAAAGUUGAACAAAGGCCCAGGCCAAACCAGCUAACAACAAAGUCAAGCGGAACCUCUGGAAAAAUAAAUGCUUGGCCUUCCCCAAUUCAGUUUUGACCCUCCUCCACCCUAGGCAUGAGAACAACUUAUGGAAUUACAUACCCCAGCCGAGAAGAUAAUACCACAUCAAAUGCUGUUUCUCUGCAAAGACAGCCACCACAAUGAGAGUAUGCAGAUAAAUGCCUUCACAGAGCAUCCAGAAGUAAUGGC